rnacentral:rRNA from 1 species
UACGUAGGGUGCGAGCGUUGUCCGGAAUUACUGGGCGUAAAGAGCUCGUAGGUGGUUUGUCGCGUUGUUCGUGAAAACCUGAGGCUUAACCUUGGGCGUGCGGGCGAUACGGGCAGACUGGAGUACUGCAGGGGAGAUUGGAAUUCCUGGUGUAGCGGUGGAAUGCGCAGAUAUCAGGAGGAACACCGGUGGCGAAGGCGGGUCUCUGGGCCGAUACUGACGCUGAGGAGCGAAAGCGUGGGGAGCGAACAGG